rnacentral:rRNA from 1 species
UACGUAGGGACCAAGCGUUGUCCGGAAUCAUUGGGCGUAAAGCGCGCGUAGGUGGCCAUUUAAGUCCGCUGUGAAAGUCGGGGGCUCAACCCUCGGAUGCCGGUGGAUACUGUCGGGCUUGAGUACGGAAGAGGCGAGUGGAAUUCCUGGUGUAGCGGUGAAAUGCGCAGAUAUCAGGAGGAACACCAAUUGCGAAGGCAGCUCGCUGGGACGUUACUGACGCUGAGACGCGAAAGCGUGGGGAGCAAACAGG